CAUGCCUUGAGGUGGGGACAACCAUUGGAAACGAUGGCUAAUACCGCAUAAUGUCUACGGACCAAAGGGGGCUUCGGCUCUCGCCUUUAGAUUGGCCCAAGUGGGAUUAGCUAGUUGGUGAGGUAAGGGCUCACCAAGGCAACGAUCCCUAGCUGGUUUGAGAGGAUGAUCAGCCACACUGGNAACUGAGACACGGUCCAGACUCCUACGGGAGGCAGCAGUGGGGAAUAUUGCACAAUGGGCGCAAGCCUGAUGCAGCCAUGCCGCGUGUGUGAAGAAGGCCUUCGGGUUGUAAAGCACUUUCAGUCAGGAGGAAAGGUUAGUAGUUAAUACCUGCUAGCUGUGACGUUACUGACAGAAGAAGCACCGGCUAACUCCGUGCCAGCAGCCGCGGUAAUACGGAGGGUGCGAGCGUUAAUCGGAAUUACUGGGCGUAAAGCGUACGCAGGCGGUUUGUUAAGCGAGAUGUGAAAGCCCCGGGCUUAACCUGGGAACUGCAUUUCGAACUGGCAAACUAGAGUGUGAUAGAGGGUGGUAGAAUUUCAGGUGUAGCGGUGAAAUGCGUAGAGAUCUGAAGGAAUACCGAUGGCGAAGGCAGCCACCUGGGUCAACACUGACGCUCANGUACGAAAGCGUGGGGAGCAAACAG
rnacentral:rRNA from 1 species